GGGAAGGUAACUCAGUGGUAGAGUGCUUGCCUUGCAUGCAUGAGGCCCUAGGUUCGAUUCCUCAGCACCA
rnacentral:tRNA from 1 species